GUGGAAAAGCAGCAUCGUGUCUUCGGUCUCCUUUCCAGUUUCAAAACAGGCCAUUUUGGAGACUCCCCAUGUUGCAGGAAACAGGAAUCCGUCAUCAGGACAUGAUGCCUCAGUCCCCUGCCCAGGGUCCAGGCCCACCAGGCGGUCUCCCUUUCGCUGACACUCCAGGCCUUCCCCCAGCUCGCGAGCUCCUGAGCUUCCAACACAUCUGGCCGGCUCAGGACAGGGUGUGCUCGGAGGCAUCAGGGUGCGGGGCCCACAGUACUGGGAUCCCCUCUGGUCCUCCGCCUUGCCAUGGAAAAAUUGUUUUGGAUCCCUCGCCACCCCUCCUGCAAGGCCCCCUCUUGCCCCACACACCCAGAGCUGCCAGGGCUGCCUAGGGGCAAACAGCCAGCCCAGCCCCGCGGGCUCUUUUUCUCACAAUGCCCACACCAUCAUCGCUUCUCCUGAUGAGGACCCACCCGUGGCCAAUGGGACAGGAAGGCCCUGCUUUGCACCACGCUGGCACUAGAGCCCCGGCAGCCUGA
rnacentral:lncRNA from 1 species